rnacentral:tRNA from 21 species
GGGCCGUUAGCUCAGUUGGUUAGAGCAGCGGACUCAUAAUCCGUUGGUCGCUGGUUCAAGCCCAGCACGGCCUACCA